rnacentral:rRNA from 1 species
GGUCAAGUUAUUAAGGGUGCAGGGCGGAUGCCUUGGCACUAGGAGCCGAUGAAGGACGUGAUAAGCUGCGAUAAGCUUCGGGGAGUUGCACGUAAACUUUGAUCCGAAGAUUUCCGAAUGAGGAAACUCACUUAGAGUAAUGUCUAAGUAUCAUUAAGUGAAUACAUAGCUUAAUGAGGGGAACUCAGGGAACUGAAACAUCUAAGUACCUGAAGGAAGAGAAAGAAAUUCGAUUCCGUAAGUAGCGGCGAGCGAACGCGGAUUAGCCCAAACCAAUAAAGUUUUCUUUAUUGGGGUUGCGGACAUAUCAUAACGAAGAGGUAUCGUAAUUGAAGAGGUUUGGAAAGACCCACCACAGAAGGUAAUAGUCCUGUAUGUUAAACGAGAAGACUUCAGAUAUGAUCCAGAGUACCACGGGACACGUGAAACCCUGUGGGAAGCAGGAGGGACCACCCUCCAAGGCUAAAUACUACCUAGUGACCGAUAGCGUAUAGUACCGUGAGGGAAAGGUGAAAAGAACCCCGGGAGGGGAGUGAAAUAGAACCUGAAACCCUGCACUUACAAGCUGUGGAAGCACAUUUCUUGUGUGACCGCGUACUUUUUGUAGAACGGGCCAACGAGUUACGUUAAGUAGCAAGGUUAAGCACUUAAGGUGUGGAGCCGUAGCGAAAGCGAGUUUUAACUGAGCGUUCAGUUACUUGACGUAGACCCGAAACCGGGCGACCUACCCAUGAGCAGGAUGAAGCGAAAGUAAAAUUUCGUGGAGGUCCGAACCCACGAGCGUUGAAAAGCUCGGGGAUGACUUGUGGGUAGCGGUGAAAUUCCAAUCGAGCCCGGAGAUAGCUGGUUCUCCCCGAAAUAGCUUUAGGGCUAGCCUCAAGGUGAGAGAUACGGAGGUAGAGCACUGAAUGUCCUAGGGGGUAUUGCACCUACCGAAGACUAUCAAACUCCGAAUGCCGUCAUCUUAUACUUGGGAGUCAGACUGUGGGUGAUAAGAUUCAUAGUCGAAAGGGCAACAGCCCAGAUCGUCAGCUAAGGUCCCUAAAUGUAAGUUAAGUGGUAAAGGAUGUGGGAUUGCACAGACAACCAGGAUGUUGGCUUAGAAGCAGCCACUCAUUCAAAGAGUGCGUAAUAGCUCACUGGUCGAGUGAUCCUGCGCCGAAGAUUUCCGGGGCUAAAACUUACUACCGAAGCUACGGCAUCAGUAAUGAUGGGUAGGGGAGCUUCCCAUACGGGUUGAAGCAUGACCGUAAGGACAUGUGGACAGUAUGGGAGUGAGAAUGUUGGCAUGAGUAGCGAGAUGUGGGUGAGAAUCCCACAGGCCGUAAACCCAAGGUUUCCAGGGGAAGGUUCGUCCGCCCUGGGUUAGUCGGGACCUAAGCUGAGGCCGAAAGGCGUAGGUGAUGGACAACAGGUUGAUAUUCCUGUACUACCGAUAACCGUUUGAGAGAAGGGAUGACACAGUAGGAUAAGCUAAGCACACUGUUGGUUAUGUGUGCCCAAGCAUUGAGGCAGUCAAAGUAGGCAAAUCCGCUUUGAUAAUGCUGGGAUGUGAUGGGGAGCGAAAUUUAGUAGCGAAGUAGCUGAUUUCACACUGUCAAGAAAAGUCUCUAUCGAGGUUAAAGGUACCCGUACCGCAAACCGACACAGGUGGGUGAGGAGAGUAUCCUAAGGCCAGCGAGAGAACUGUUGUUAAGGAACUCGGCAAAAUGACCCCGUAACUUAGGGAUAAGGGGUGCCACCAUCAGGUGGCCGCAGAGAAUAGGCCCAAGCGACUGUUUACCAAAAACAUAGGUUUCUGCUAAGUCGCAAGACGAUGUAUAGGAGCUGACGCCUGCCCGGUGCUGGAAGGUUAAGGGGAUCUGUUAGAGCAAUCGAAGCAGUGAACUUAAGCCCCAGUAAACGGCGGCCGUAACUAUAACGGUCCUAAGGUAGCGAAAUUCCUUGUCGGGUAAGUUCCGACCCGCACGAAAGGCGUAACGAUUUGGGCACUGUCUCAACAACAGACUCGGUGAAAUUGUAAUUCCGGUGAAGAUGCCGGAUACCUGCGACAGGACGGAAAGACCCCAUGGAGCUUUACUGUAGCUUGACAUUGGGUUUUGGUACUACAUGUACAGGAUAGGUGGGAGGCUUUGAAACCAGGACGCCAGUUUUGGCGGAGCCAUCCUUGGGAUACCACCCUUGUAGUACUGGGACUCUAACCAUAGGCCAUGAAUCUGGUCUUGGGACACUGUCAGGUGGGCAGUUUGACUGGGGCGGUCGCCUCCCAAAAGGUAACGGAGGCGCUCAAAGGUUCUCUCAGUACGGUCGGAAAUCGUACGUAGAGUGUAAAGGCAAAAGAGAGCUUGAUUGCAAGACAUACAGGUCGAGCAAGGAUGAAAAUCGGACUUAGUGAUCCGGUGGUUCUGCGUGGAAGGGCCAUCGCUCAACGGAUAAAAGCUACCCUGGGGAUAACAGGCUUAUCUCCCCCAAGAGUCCACAUCGACGGGGAGGUUUGGCACCUCGAUGUCGGCUCAUCACAUCCUGGGGCUGUAGUAGGUCCCAAGGGUUGGGCUGUUCGCCCAUUAAAGUGGUACGCGAGCUGGGUUCAGAACGUCGUGAGACAGUUCGGUCCCUAUCCGUCGCAGGCGUAGGAAAUUUGAGAAGACCUGUCCUUAGUACGAGAGGACCGGGAUGGACGUACCUCUGGUGUACCAGUUGUUCUGCCAAGGGCAUGGCUGGGUAGCUAUGUACGGAAUGGAUAAGCGCUGAAAGCAUCUAAGCGCGAAGCCAACUUCAAGAUAAGAUUUCCCACCGUAAGGGUAAGACCCCAGAAAGACUAUCUGGUUGAUAGGUCGAAGGUGUAAGUGCAGCAAUGUAUUUAGCUUAUCGAUACUAAUAGGUCGAGGACUUGACCAA